CAUUGGCAAGAGUGGGGACAUGGAAGCUGUGUUCAGGCCGGUCCACGCUGGGUGACCCAUGUGACCUGCUGCUUAGCAAUUCCUUGUCACCAUCUUCCCUUCUCAGCCUCUUUUUUCAUGCUAACAGGCAUAAAUGAAAUGAUAAAAGUUUGAGCUCUUCUCGUGGAAUUCUCGUGAUACAGAUAUGUGCUACAUGUUCAUCAUCUCGUUGGUCUUCACCAUGAUAACUGUGGAGUAAGAAUUAUAAGCAGGUCACAGAUUAGGGACUUGAGAUUGACAGUUUGGCUUCCCUGUUCUGGGUGGCAAAGCCUGUGGAGUACUCACCUACCUGCUGCAUGAAGGCAGCAUGGAGGGACUGUGGUGGAUUAUCUGCAAAGAUGGCCAAAAUUCUCUCAUCCCUGCAGGCACAUACAAGAUGCCAGAAUCAGUCAAAACUAAGCUCACUGUCCUUGCUAAUAUUCUGCCCCAGAGAAGAACUGAAGCUCAGCUCUUCACCCUACAGAAAGCCUGAAUUUUGUAAAUGUUCUGCUUAGAAUGAGGAAGAAAGAUGAAGAAUGAGGAGGAAGAAGGAAGGAACGAGAGAGAGGUAAAGCCAACAAGCAGAACAGACCUACAUUUGCAGCAUCUCCAAGUUUCUGCAACAGCAUUAUGUUGUUGUUAUGUUUUGUUUUAAUAAAAGCACAUACCAUUUGGUUGUUGCAUGGCAUAAGUAAAGUGACAGUUAUAGGAUACAUGCAACUUUUCAGUGACAAAGAUCUGUGCAGCAUCGACAGUACUGCCUAAUGAGGUUUCAGCCAGGUUUCCAGAAGUUCCCCAGUCAUUGAGCAUUUCUGAGGCUCUUGAUGCAUAUGCCAAGUAGUUAUGGAGAAAGACACAGCAGCUUACCUCUGCAGGCAUCAUUGUGUGAAAGGAAGACCCAGGCUCUCUCACCACCCUUGAACAGAAGCC
rnacentral:lncRNA from 1 species